rnacentral:rRNA from 1 species
UACGUAGGGGGCGAGCGUUGUCCGAAGUUACUGGGCGUAAAGCGCGCGUAGGCGGGCUCUUAAGUGAGGGGUGAAAGGUUCGGGCUCAACCCGAACACUGCCUUUCAUACUGGGAGCCUUGAGUGCGGGAGAGGCGAGUGGAAUGGUCGGUGUAGCGGUGAAAUGCGUAGAUAUCGAUCGGAACACCCAUGGCGAAGGCAGCUCGCUGGCCUGCAACUGACGCUGAGGCGCGAAAGCGUGGGGAGCAAACAGG